rnacentral:tRNA from 1 species
CCCUCGUUAAGCGCAGUAGGUAGCGUCAGUCUCAUAAUCUGAAGGUCGUGAGUUCGAUCCUCACACGAGGAG